AUUUUAUGCUGCUAUGAAUUAGAUCUGAUUUUUCACUUACAUUUUUGCAGUGAGUUCUCCUAACCUAGAGAAAUGGCUUUUGUUUUUAAUUUCUUCAUCAUACUGUACAUUUUUCUCAAGAGCAGUGGCUCCGUUUUUUUUCUUUAUAUAUUCUCAGUGUGGUUUUUUGUUUUUGGGUUUUUGUGUGUUUUUUUUCUGUACUGGGGAUUGAACUCAGAACCUUGCACUUUUGAGGCAGGUGCGGUGCCAGUGAGCUCCAUCCCUGGCCCUAUUGUCAGUGUUUUAAACAUGACCUAGUAAGUGAUCAAUGACUUCUUUUGGUACCAGGGAUCAAACUCAGGACCUUGAGCUUGCCAGGCAGGCACUGUGCCACUGAGCUAAAUCCCCAGCCCCAGAAUGUUUUUUGAAUGAAUAAGUAAAGAGUAGGCUAUGUAGAACAGAAUCGUCUCCUUUGAUAUUUGUAAUCUUUCUGACAUCCAUAGCAGUUGCAGCAAUUGGUCCACCACAAGGACCAGGAGGCAGUCUAUUCUUUUGCAUGGUGUUCUUCCUGACAGUGAUCAAUUAGUCCCCUGAGGUGGCUAACUUAGUCUUAGCUAGCUUCCACCUCCUCCAAGGCAAAAUAAAUUUUUUGAACAUAGUUUUUUGUUAUUUAUUGUGGAUUUCUCAAAGCACACACUCUUGGAUCAAUUUGUGUAUAAUUUUUGAAAAGCUUCACUGCCAGACUGGUAUUGAGACUUGGCGCUUCCUAAGGUACCUAUAUAAUUGUCUCCCUGAAAUACUUACAGGAUUGAAGUACCUAUAAGAUUGAUUGUCUUCCUGAUUUCCUCUUCUGAAGCAAACAUUUAGACUUAUUAAGUGGUGAUUCAGCAAAGGGAAACAAAAUAAUGUGAAUACCAAAACCUAACUGCCCUUAGGACUGGAGCAAGGUUGGACAUAGCUAUAGGGACCCUUGAUAACUUUAGACAAAAGUGAAGAAAACAUAGAAAGGAAGAAAAUAAAUGGUAAUCCAUCUGUCUAAUGAAAUUUUCCCUGAGUACAAUGUGAAAGCCUUUCUCAGUAUGCCUCUUACCCUCAUCCGCAGUCUCCCCUUGUCUUUCCUAUUCUUGACUGCAUGAACUCUGUGUUUUGGCCCUCUUGGAUUGCUUGUUAAACCACCAAUAAGCCUUCUAUAAUUUUACUAUCCAAUUUUCAUAGAUAGUAAUCUGUAUAUCUGAAAUAGGCUUCUUGCCUUUCUCUACCAAUUCAUCGAACUCCUUCAGUUCUUUUCAAUAAUAAUAAUACUUUACCUGAAACCUGCCCCAACUUCUCCAGAUGAAGUAGUCACGUCUCAUUCUGUGCCACCAUAACAUAUCCAACAUAAACUUCUGUUAGUGCCUUUCUAUUGCUAGGUUGUUGUAACUAGUUUUUAGAACUGUGUCUUUUACCUACAAGUUGAAUGCUUAUUAAUAUUUGAGACCACGCCCUCUCUGUCUUUGUGACUUCAGUAUUCAGUGUGGAUUCUGUAUAGAGAAGGCAAUCAAUCAAUACUUGCUGAAUAGAUAAUUGAGUAAAUUUACCAUGGAGAGGAUAGGAUUUUUUUGUUCCUGGUACCAGGGAUCAAACUCAGGACAUUGCACUUACGAGGCAGGCGUGGUGCCAUUGAGCUAAAUCCCCAGCCCAGUGAGAAUAAGAUUUAGAUGCACUACUCACCAUGUGGUUCUAGCCAAAGAACUGGCCUUUCUAUUCAUCUAUAAAAUAAAAGGAAUAUAUCUAUAUUUGUUCAAUUUUGGAGAUGCUAUGAGAAUUUACCAGCAUUAGUCAGCUGGAUGCCUGAAGAAAACCACACAGACUUGGUGUCCUAAACAACAGAUACUUAGUUCUCACAGUUCUGAAUGCUAAAUCGAAGGCCCAAGGACCAGUAGAUUAGGUCUUUUGGUAGAAUUCUCUUACUGGGUUGUAGGUGGCUGCCUUUUCUUUGUAUACUGCAGACAGAGGAAGUUCUGAUAUCUCUUCCUAUUCUUUUAAAGACCCCAAAACCAUCUUCCAAGCUCUACUCUAGUGACUUCAUCUAUGCCCAGUUACCCCCCUAAAGGCCCACCACCUAAUACUGUCCCUAAUAAAAGUCCUCACACAAUUAAGCUUAAAUGUCAACUUGAGUGUCUUGAGAGCACAUCAAGGAUUAGUAAAGCACACUUCUGGGUGUGUCUGGAGGGGUCAUAGAGGUUUGACCUUUGCUAGUUUAUGUUGACCCACAUCCCUUCCUCUCUUGUGUUGUUCUCCUGCUCUGCUUCCUGGCCUCCAAGAACUAAGCAGCUUUGCUCCACCAUACCCUUCUGCCAUGAUGUUUCUGCUGUGGAGCUAGCUGACCAUGGACUGAAUCCCCUGAAACCAUGAGUCAAAGUAAAUCUCUCCUCCUUUAACUUGUGGGUAUUGGCUGUUUUGUACCAAAAAUGGGAGAGCUGACUAACACAAGCCUUUUCAAAAGAAAUACUCCAACUGUGGAGUCAGAUGAGUGAACAAUGGACCUUGCCCUCAAGUUGAUGCUUCCAUUUCCUUGCUUACCUUUCUAUUUUAUCUUUCAUCUUUAUGACAUUUGGGGGAUGCCACUUAUCACAUAGGUUUGGGUUCAUUUGUUCCAAUACUCCCUUUGUAUCAAGACAGUAUCUGUCAAGGUUUGAUUUUGCUUGAGAAAUAAAUGAAUCCUUAGAACAAAUUAAGAUUAUUCAAUAAAGGAAGACAAGUCACCGUUUAACCUCUGGAGUGAACUUCAGUGAGUGUUUACUAGAGAAACAAAUAUAAGACAAAAUGUACAAGUAUAUAAGAAUCGACAAGACUGGCGUGCAGUGGCCUCCCACAGAAUCGGAUGAGGCAGAGUGCAGAGGGUCUGUCUGCACACUGGAGACCGAAGGAUCCGGCUGAAGGUCCGGAGCUCACUGCAGUGUCCCGUGCGAAUCUGUGUUAGGAGGCUGAUGGGUCUGAGAUGCCGGAAGGCUGAAGGAUCAGUGUGAGAGGCUGAGGAGUCUGCACUGGAAGCCAAGAGAUGAUGUCCAAGGUGAAGGCAAAGACUGGAGCUCUUCCAAAGAAGCAGAAGCAGACCCAUCCUUCUUCAUCUCCCCUUUCUACCAUCCAGGGACAAGCUGCCCUAGGGUGGAUCUUCCACACCCUAGGGUAUGGAUUUGCUGAGCCAAUUAAGUUGAGCUUCUCUUACUCAAGUUGACACAAUCAAACAACCAUCACAUUUCCUACUUGGGAGAAACUAUAAAUAUGCAUUCUUUUUUUAUCUUGUUUUCUUUUUGUAUCUUGUCUUUUUGGCACCCAACUCUCUCCAUAUUACUGAGAAGAUAAUUUGGGUCCUUGUGUGGUGCUUCUUCUGAUGGAGAUAAUACAAGCCCAAAACCGGUAAAAGCAGCGUUUUGGAAAAGGAAGGCCCAGAAGGCUGAGCGUGAAUCCUUGAGACAUCAACUUAGUGUCCGGGCAGGUUUUGGAGCCCUGAAUGACAGUCAAGAAUCUGGUAGAGCCACAGGCUUCAGAAGAGGUGGGAAUUAAAUGGAUGAAAUUGGCAGGAGGAAUCCCAGCCUUGCUUACCCUCCACCCUCUUCAGGUAUCUACAACUCUAACUCUUUUCAAAACAGGUCCCUGGAAGCCUGCUAUUCAUAGCCUAGUGUGAAUCUGUGCAUCUGCAUGCUAAGUUUAUCUAUGAUUAUGAAACACAAGAUUGUCUUGCUAAAGCAUUUCUAACAAUCUGAAGACAGGAGGGAAACACAAUUAUCAGUCUUCAGAUGGUAUAAAAUCAUACUGGGCAGGUAACAGGUGGGAUAGAUAGCCCAUGAGGACACAUUAGUCUACCAGAGGCCUUGCUACAACCCACUAAAUAACUGCCACUACUCACACAGUAAUGUUUUAGUGUCCUGUGUCUGAUGGGAAGGGUUGAACAGCUGAUAUCUUCUAUGCCAGGAGAUUCAAUCGUUUUGAGACUAGACUCUUUAUACCCUCUUCAGUCAUUACUUCCCUUCUCAUUCAAGACAGUACACACCAUGAAAAUUACAUUUCGAAUAGCUGGAGAUGCAGCCUUUCCAUUCUCCUUAUCCUCUUAAAGUGUCAGCUGCCCCUUCUUCCAUCAGAACCUGUUUUCUGGAAAGGAUCAUGCACCUGUCUAAUUUGGUUACUGCAAAUCUAACCGAAUCCUCAGUGUCACUUUUAGUUCAUAUAUCAGUGUUAUAUAAAACUUCUUUAUGUGAAUAGUUGCAUAGUAUUCCAUAGUAUAGAUAUAGAAUAUUUUAUUUAACAACCCCAUUUUUCACUAAUGUUAGGUUAUUUGUGACAUUUUGCUCAAAUAUGACUCAAAUUUAAAAUUUAAUAUUUUAAUAUGGAUAUGUAUAUAUUUGGAGACAUGUAUGUGAAACUAUUUCUGUAGGAUAUGUUCCUAGAAUUAGAGUUCCUCAAGAGGUGUAAACAUUUUAAUUCUUGAAGAGAUAUUUCUAAAUUUCCCCCAAAUCAAUUUAGAUUCCUGUCAAGAUUAUGAAUUGGGAUCCACAUGCCCACAUGCUCAGCAACAGUAUAAAGUAUCAGUCUUUCUAGUUUUGUUUAUCUGAUGGGAAAAAUGUUCUUUCAUGUUUUAAAAGCCAUUUCUCUAAUUUCCAGAGGGCCGGUGCAUCUUUCAUCAUGUUCUGAGAAUAGUAAAUGUUUCUAUUUGAGUUUGUAUAUUUAAUUUCCCAAUUGGAAAAAUGGCUUGAAUAUUACUAUUAUGUUCAUGGUAUAUAUAAAGACUAUGUUAGCUAUAUUCUUACUUUCUCUUAAAGUGGUUUUUCAAGACAUUAAAGCUGUUUGUGUAUGUGUGUAUAUGUGUGUGUGUAUGUGUGUGUGAAGGUGUAUCUUUUUAAAAAUGUUUUUUAAUUGGUGAAAUUGUAUAUAUUUAUUGUGAAAAACAUGAUGUUUUGAAAUAUAUGUUCAUUAUGGAAUGACUUAAAUUAGCAUAUGAAUUGCCUAAGGUAGUUAUCAUUUUUGUGGUGAGAACAUUUUAAACUUAUAUCCUAGCAUUUUUCAAAAAUACAAUAUAUAGUUCUUAACUGUAGUUGUCAUGUUAUACAGUAGAUCAUAAGUCUGAUUUUCUUAACCCUUACAUUAACCUCGCCAGAGAAAGGUUCCAUAAGGCUGUGUCACAGGGAGGCCAGGCCCUAUGCUCAGUGGUUAUGGGUGUGGUCUUCGGAAUCAGGCUGACCUGGUUUAGACUCCGGGUUGAGUCAUAUUUCUUACAUUUUCUGUGCCUCUGUCACCUCUUUUGUAAAGUGAGUGCCAUAAAAGUUGUAAACUCACAGAAUUUUCCUGAGGCUUAUUUGUAUUUUUUAUGUUUUGGAAGUGCUGGAGAUGAGACCGGGAGCCUCGCACAUGUGGGACAAGCGCUCUGCCACUGAGCUGUCCCCCAGCACUGUCGUAAACUCCAGACAGGAUAAUAACACGAUGCAUGUAAUUCAGCACAGUUCCAGACACUUCCAAGUGCUCAGUAUUUGCUAUCCAUUAAAAUUAUUAUUUAUAAUGUGGACAACACAUGCAGAGAAUUAGAUAUUUCAGUUUUAUUCUAGGUCCUAGAAACUUUCCCAGUAAAACUUAUUCUUAGUAAUAUCCUAAAAGACUAAUACAGUCCUCUUUUAUUAGAGUGGGGAUUUCUCAUUAUGUUUUAGCCAGUCAUAUGAAUUUUCUGUUUCUUAGAGCAUGAAAAUAAUUAACUCACCCAUUAAUUCAGUGUUUACUCUUAAGUUCUUACUGUGUUUAAAGCCUGAGAGAUUCAGUUCUCUUCAAAAGUCUAUUUCACUUUCUCUGUAUGAAACUUAUUCCACAUUCCUUUAAACUGUGAAAAUCCUAAUUUAUACAAAAUGCAAGGAAACAGGAAAGAAGCUUAAAGGCAGUUUAGUUCAACUUUUUAUUUUAUAGAUGUAAAAACUGAAGCCCAGAGGCAGGAAGCAACUUUUCUAAGGUCACACCGUGCGUAAGUAUGGGAACUGGGAUGAGAAGCCAGACAUCCCAGCUCUACAGCAGCACUCUGUGAAACCAUACCAUGUUCAAGGAUCCACUUCUGUUAACCCAACAUGACUUCAAAAAUCCUGACCUUGGUAUAAUUCCAAAGGAAAUGAAAUCACCAACUUGUUAAAAUGUUAUCAUUCCCAUGCUCUUCUCAGCACUAUUCAAAAUAGGAAAGAUACGGAAACUACCUAGGUGUCUAUUGACAAAUAAAUGGAUAAAAAAUUUUGGCAUAUAUUUAUAAUGAAACAUUAUUCAGCCUUUAAAAAUUAGGAGAUCUUACCACUUGCUACAGUUUGGAUGAACCUAGAGGAUAUUAUACUUGGUGCAAUAAACCAGACACAAAAAUACUGCAUGAAAUCUAAAGAAAAUGUAAUAUAUAGAAAGAUGGAGAAUAAAAACAGUGAUUAUGAGGGUCAUAGUGUGGAAGGAGGACUAGGAAUGCAUUGUUUCAAAGGAUACAUGUAGCAAAUAUAGAGGAUGAACAAUCAAAAGAUCUAAUGUACAGCACAAAGAUUACAGCUAAUAAAAUUGUAUUCAGAAUAAAGAUUUGAGGGAAUGUGAAGAUUACAGCAUCUUUUGUUUCUAUGUGUGGUGAAGGAUAUCUUGAUUUGUUCCACUAUCGUAACUAUUUUCUUAUAUAUUUAUAUGUAUCUUUAAAGAUCAUGCAGUAUAACUUAAGUAUACACAAUAAAAUUCAUUUAAAAACAUUAAAAACAAAUAUACAAAAACACAGGUUUUAAAAUGAUAAAAAUGAAACACGGCUGUCUGAAGUUUGUCAAGAAAGAUAGAACCUAACACACUUCCCUACCUAUUUGAAGACAAUAGUACUGUGAAGUCCAGUAGCAUAGCUUUCUAGGUCUUUUUCAUUUUUGUCUACUCUCAACUACCCACAUAUAACAAGAAUGCACUGCACUCAAGGUAGACAGUACCAGUGAUCCUACAGAUCAGCUUCUGGCAGCCCCUGGCCCACAUGCCAGAGAUGGUACAGGUGCCAAUUUCUGGUGGGAAGUGAGCCAACUGCCACACACAAUUCCCACCCUCAUCGUUUUCAGCAGAUAUCAUGUCCACCCUCUUGCCCAUGUCAUCCGAGGCAACACCCUGACAAGGCUUUCCAUAUGGCCCCAUCUUGGCCUUCCAAAACCACAGGCUCAGUAAUUCAACACACACAUUAGAGAAACCAAUGACCGCUGAUUCCUAUAAUAAAAAUGAAACAUUCUCAGCAUGUUUAAACAGAAUGUUCAUUUAUUUUCUUCUUUAUGAUUAUAGAGUAAUAGAAUGUUCUUGAUUAUUAAUAUAUAUCAUAGAAUAUGCCAAAGCAAGAAUUAGGCAAAUCUAAUGAACUUGCCUAACCUUAAAAGAAUAAAAGGCAACACAUCCCCAGCCCCCAGCCUAUAUAUUAUGGGUAGAAAUCUGGACCCACUGACCAUUUAGUUGUUCAUUUAAACUUUAGUUCCGGUUUAUUGAGCAUCUACUAGGAAUGGUCCUGUUGCUGGCUGUUCAGAGCACGAAUAUCCAUAAGUCCUCUACAAAAGGCUGCCUCAGAGUUCAUGUACACCUGGCUGCUUAGUCUUGAGUUACUUUCUACCACUGAAUAAUUCUGUGAUGUUAAGCAAAUAAAUUUGCUUCUUUAAACUUUAUUUUCCCAAUCCUUAUGUAAGGGUAGUAUUAGUCCCUACUUUGCAUAUUUGAUUAUAAGGAUAAUAUUAAGGCAUUUUAGAUGGUGCCUAAAACAGUCAAUUCUCAAAAAUUAUCAGCUACAAUUAAGUUUCUCCUGUACUAUAACCCGAAAUUAGAAAGCCUGUAAGAGGGUUAGAAAUCAGAAGGUCAAUUGACACUGAAAAUUUGGAAAUUAGGGCAACCAACAGUUAAAAGGUCCUUAAUAUGACAAGAUUUUGGUGAUUACUUGCUGUGUGACAGGGACAUGUAUGUGUUGGGGAUGAAGAAAUGAACCAAUUCUUGAACUUCUACUUGUGGAGAGAUGGCAUAAAAUUGAGAACUGUAAAUCCCGGGUUAAGGAUUAUUAAAAAGCUGGAAUUCUGAAA